rnacentral:rRNA from 1 species
CCUACGGGGGGCAGCAGUAGGGAAUCUUGCACAAUGGGGGAAACCCUGAAGCAGCAACGCCGCGUGCAGGAUGAAGGUCUUCGGGUUGUAAACUCCUUUUGUAAGAGAGGAUUAUGACGGUAUCUAACGAAUAAGCAUCGGCUAACUCCGUGCCAGCAGCCGCGGUCAUACGGAGGGUGCGAGCGUUACGCGGAGUCACUGGGCGUAAAGAGUGCGUAGGCGGGCUAGCAAGUUAGAUGUGAAACCCUAGGGCUUAACCAUAGAACUGCAUUUGAAACUGUUAAGCUAGAGUAUGUGAGAGGUAACUGGAAUUCGUGGUGUAGGAGUGAAAUCCGUAGAUAUCAGGAAGAAUACUCAUAGCGAAGGCGAGCUACUAGAACAGAACUGACGCUGAGGCACGAAAGCGUGGGGAGCAAACAGGAUUAGAUACCCCUGUAGUC